UGCAGUCGAACGGUAACAGCAAGAGCUUGCUCUUGGCUGACGAGUGGCGGACGGGUGAGUAACGCGUAGGGAUCUGCCUUAUAGAGGGGGAUAACCUUAGGAAACUGAGGCUAAUACCGCAUAUGCUCUUCGGAGUAAAGGCUGCACUUGUGCAGUCACUAUAAGAUGAACCUGCGUUAGAUUAGUUAGUUGGUGGGGUAAAGGCCUACCAAGGCGACGAUCUAUAGCUGGUCUGAGAGGAUGAACAGCCACACUGGGACUGAGACACGGCCCAGACUCCUACGGGAGGCAGCAGUGGGGAAUAUUGGACAAUGGGGGCAACCCUGAUCCAGCAAUGCCGCGUGUGUGAAGAAGGCCUGCGGGUUGUAAAGCACUUUCGUUGGGGAGGAUGGUGGAUGUUGUUAAUAGCAGCAUUCAUUGACGUUACCCAAAUAAGAAGCACCGGCUAACUCUGUGCCAGCAGCCGCGGUAAUACAGAGGGUGCAAGCGUUAAUCGGACUGACAGGGCGUAAAGGGCGUGUAGGCGGCGUAGUAAGUCGGAUGUGAAAUGGCAGGGCUCAACCUUGUCAGGUCAUCCGAUACUGCUAUGCUAGAGUGCAGGAGAGGGAAGUGGAAUUUCCGGUGUAGCGGUGAAAUGCGUAGAUAUCGGAAGGAACACCAGUGGCGAAGGCGACUUUCUGGCCUGCAACUGACGCUGAGACGCGAAAGCGUGGGUAGCGAACAGG
rnacentral:rRNA from 1 species